rnacentral:rRNA from 1 species
AGUGAACGCUGGCGGUAGGCCUAACACAUGCAAGUCGAACGGCAGCACCGUAAGAGCUUGCUCUUACGGGUGGCGAGUGGCGGACGGGUGAGGAAUACAUCGGCAUCUACUUUUUCGUGGGGGCUAACGUAGGGAAACUUACGCUAAUACCGCAUACGACCUACGGGUGAAAGCAGGGGAUCUUCGGCCCUUGAGCGAUUGAAUGCGCCGAUGUCGGAUUAGCUAGUUGGCGGGGUAAAGGCCCACUAAGGCGACGAUCCGUAGCUGGUCUGAGAGGAUGAUCAGCGACAGUGAAACUGAGACACGGUCCAGACUCCUACGGGAGGCAGCAGUGGGGAAUAUUGGACAAUGGGCGCAAGCCUGAUCCAGCCAUACCGCGUGGGUGAAGAAGGGCUUCGGGUUGGAAAGCCCUUUUGUGGGUAAAGAAAAGCAGCAGGUUAAUCCCCCGCUGGUCUGACGGUACCCAAAGAAUAAGCACCGGCUAACUUCGUG